GUCUGUGUCAGGGUUGACUGGAGGGAUCUGGUAGACACCACUUUUGUGUUCUGUCUUCCUUGGGUCUUUAUUAUUUCGUAACAUGUCGGGGGUCGUAGAGGGUCUUUUAUACGCAGGUUUCUUGUUCCGUUUUUUUAGGAGGGUUCUUAUUACUCUGGAAUUUCCUAACGCGGCUGGUAUAACUUCAUACUUCGAUGCGUCCUGCGGCAUUGGUGCCUGUAUAUGGGUCGGAUUAUUUGCUGUAAUCUCCAGUCGAUUGCGAGGGCUGUCAGUGACUUCCGUUCUUAUCUUAUCCACUAAAGAGGGUUUAUACCCGUGGUUGGCAGCUAUC
rnacentral:lncRNA from 1 species